AACCAUUCUCACCUGCGGCUAGACCUGCGGAGGGAUCAUUAGUGAUUGGCCCUCUGGGUCUUUUACAUCCCACACACCUGUGCACCUCGGUUUCCACUGGGAGCCGUUGAAACGCUUUUUCAAACUUUUGCAUGUCUAGAACGUCUUAUGAAUCUUAAUACGAAACAACUUUUAGCAAUGGAUCU
rnacentral:misc_RNA from 1 species